rnacentral:rRNA from 1 species
AACGCUGGCGGUGUGCCUAAGGCAUGCAAGUCGUACGAGAAGCCUCACUUCGGUGAGGUGGACAGUGGCAGACGGGUGAGUAAUGCGUAGGAAUCCACCCUGAAGCGGGGAAUAGCCUGACGAAAGUCGGAUUAAUACCCCAUAGUCCCUAUCAGCGAGAGCUGUGUGGGUAAAGAUUUAUCACUUCAGGAGGAGCCUACGUCCUAUCAGGUAGUUGGUAGAGUAAUAGCCUACCAAGCCAAUAACGGGUAGCCGGUGUGAGAGCACGACCGGCCACAAGGUUACUGAAACACGGAGCCUACACCUACGGGUGGCAGCAACCAGGAAUUUUGCGCAAUGGACGAAAGUCUGACGCAGCGACACCGCGUGUGGGAUGACGCUCUUCGGAGUGUAAACCACUGUGGCGAGGGAGGAAAUCCGCCUUAUGGCGGCCUGACAGUACCUCGCUAGAAAGCACCAGCUAACUACGUGCCAGAAGCUUCGGUAAUACGUAGGGUGCAAGCGUUAUCCGGAUUUACUGGGCGUAAAGGGUCCGUAGGCGGCCUAUUAAGUCUCUUGUCCAAGCCCGAGGCUCAACUUCGGAGAGGCAAGAGAUACUACUAGGAUUGAGUUAGUUCGAGGAAGCUGGAAUUCUCGGUGGAGGGGUGAAAUCCGUAGAUCUCGAGAGGAACGCCAAGUGCGAAGGCAAGCUUCUAGGACUCAACUGACGCUAAGGGACGAAAGCUUGGGUAGCAAAAGGGAUUAGAGACCCCUGUAGUCCAAGCCGUAAACACUCCUUGCUAGUUGUUCCUGGUUUCGACCGGGAGUGACGUAGUUAACGCGAUAAGCAAGGCGCCUGGGGAGUACAACCGCAAGGUUUAAACUCAAAGGAAUUGGCGGGGGAGCGAACAACCGGUGGAGCAUGUGGUUUAAUUCGAUACAAAGCGAACAACGUUACCUGGGCUUGACAUCUAGCUGCAACGCCUGAGAAAUCAGGAAGCCUUCGAGGGUGCUAGACAGGUGAUGCAUGGCUGUCGUCAGCUCGUGUUGUGAAACGUCCGCUUAAGUGCGGUAACGAGCGAAACCCUUAUUGUAUGUU